UUUCACUGUAAUGUUCUCGUGCAGAGUGUCGAAACUCUGACGGUUUAGCUCUAAACACUGAGCUAAACCGUAGCCAAUGAAGACAGAGUCGAAGCUACAUGCAGAGCCUGUUAAGAUCAACACCACAACGCUUUAUGAAGACAUUUUGUCUGUUGUCUGUUUCCAGCACUGCCGACAGCCGACCUGUUGCUUGUUGCCAUCGCGACCACUUCAAAACAUCCAAAUGCUGCCUUUUCACUGUAAUGUUCUCGUGCAGAGUGUCGAAACUCUGACGGUUUAGCUCUAAACACUGAGCUAAACCGUAGCCAAUGAAGACAGAGUCGUAGUAAGCUUGACCUUUUAUGAUUCCAUG
ensembl:lncRNA